UAGGGAAUAUUGCAAAAUGGGCGAAAGCCCGAUGCAGCAACGCCGCGUGGGCGAUGAAGGCCUUCGGGUCGUAAAGCCCUUUUUGAGGGGAUGAGGAAGGACAGUACCCUCAGAAUAAGCCUCGGCUAACUACGUGCCAGCAGCCGCGGUAAAACGUAGGAGGCCAGCGUUAUCCGGAUUUACUGGGCGUAAAUCGCGUGCAGGCGGAUUGGGGAGUUGGAUGUGAAAGCUCCCGGCUUAACUGGGAGAGGUCGUUCAAUACUUCCAGUCUUGAGUGCAGUAGAGGGAAGUGGAAUUCCGGGUGUAGUGGUGAAAUGCGUAGAUAUCCGGAGGAACACCAGUGGCGAAAGCGGCUUCCUGGACUGUAACUGACGCUCAGACGCGAAAGCUAGGGUAGCAAACG
rnacentral:rRNA from 1 species